rnacentral:rRNA from 1 species
UACGUAGGGUGCAAGCGUUGUCCGGAAUUAUUGGGCGUAAAGAGCUCGUAGGUGGCCUGUCGCGUCGGCUGUGAAAACUCGGGGCUCAACUCCGAGCUUGCAGUCGAUACGGGCAGGCUAGAGUUCGGCAGGGGAGACUGGAAUUCCUGGUGUAGCGGUGAAAUGCGCAGAUAUCAGGAGGAACACCGGUGGCGAAGGCGGCUUCCUGGUCCAACACUGACACUGAGGCGCGAAAGCGUGGGGAGCAAACAGG